AAAUACUCCUGACUGACCGAUAGUGAACCAGUACCGUGAGGGAAAGGCGAAAAGAACCCCUGUGAGGGGAGUGAAAUAGAACCUGAAACCGUGUACGUACAAGCAGUAGGAGCACCUUCGUGGUGUGACUGCGUACCUUUUGUAUAAUGGGUCAGCGACUUAUAUUCAGUGGCAAGGUUAACCGUAUAGGGGAGCCGUAGCGAAAGCGAGUCUUAACUGGGCGCUCAGUCUCUGGAUAUAGACCCGAAACCGGGUGAUCUAGCCAUGGGCAGGUUGAAGGUUGAGUAACAUCAACUGGAGGACCGAACCGACUAAUGUUGAAAAAUUAGCGGAUGACUUGUGGCUAGGGGUGAAAGGCCAAUCAAACUCGGAGAUAGCUGGUUCUCCCCGAAAGCUAUUUAGGUAGCGCCUCGGACGAAUACUACUGGGGGUAGAGCACUGUUAAGGCUAGGGGGUCAUCCCGACUUACCAACCCUUUGCAAACUCCGAAUACCAGUAAGUACUAUCCGGGAGACACACGGCGGGUGCUAACGUCCGUCGUGGAGAGGGAAACAACCCAGACCGCCAGCUAAGGUCCCAAAGUAUUGCUAAGUGGGAAACGAUGUGGGAAGGCUCAGACAGCUAGGAUGUUGGCUUAGAAGCAGCCAUCAUUUAAAGAAAGCGUAAUAGCUCACUAGUCGAGUCGGCCUGCGCGGAAGAUGUAACGGGGCUAAGCAAUACACCGAAGCUGCGGCAAUGUCUUUUAGACAUUGGGUAGGGGAGCGUUCUGUAAGCCGUUGAAGGUGAAUCGUAAGGUUUGCUGGAGGUAUCAGAAGUGCGAAUGCUGACAUGAGUAACGACAAAGGGGGUGAAAAACCUCCUCGCCGGAAGACCAAGGGUUCCUGUCCAACGUUAAUCGGGGCAGGGUGAGUCGACCCCUAAGGUGAGGCCGAAAGGCGUAAUCGAUGGGAAACGGGUUAAUAUUCCCGUACUUCUGACUAUUGCGAUGGGGGGACGGAGAAGGCUAGGUGGGCCAGGCGACGGUUGUCCUGGUUCAAGUGCGUAGGCUUGAGAGUUAGGUAAAUCCGGCUCUCUCUAAG
rnacentral:rRNA from 1 species